CAGAAAUCGACAUAUUUUAGCCAGUUAACUUUAAAUACUGAUCAAGUUAAUCAGAUCUCCUUGAAAAAAAAUAAUAGACAGCGUUAUUUAAAUCGCACUAAUUUGUGCACGUUCACAGAUAAAUAUACUAUGUUAAGUGAUAAUUCAGAUUAACACAGAUUUGAUAAGCCAAUCAUAAUAGAUAGUACUGAUUAUUGUUUGUUAAUAGAGUUCAGAAAACGCCGGCGAAAGAUAGCAACAAAAGCAUACCCUUGCCGGAAUUUG
rnacentral:misc_RNA from 1 species